rnacentral:lncRNA from 1 species
GGAGGAUGUCCCACAAAUGAAUAAAUGUCUUCCUUCACACUACAACAGCACAGUUGUGUAGUUGCCACAGAGACUGGAUGGCUGGAAAAUCCUGAAAUAUUUACUCUCUGCACCUUUGUAGAAAAAACGUGUUUGAUGAGGCAGGAUACCAUGCUGUGGAGACCCAUUUGGCAAGAAACUAAAGGCAGCCACCAUCCAAAUGCUAGGAAAAAGCUACAGCUUUCUGUCUGAUGGCAAAGGAGACACUGAAUCCAGUCAACAAUAACAGGAGUUUGAUGGAAGAUCCAUUCCCCAGUGGAGCCUCAGAUAACACCUCAAGUCUGGCCAACAUUCUGACUGUAAACUUAUGAGAGACCCUGAAGCAGAGAAUUCAGCUAAUCCAUGCCUGGGUUUCUGACUCUCAAAAAUUCUGAGAUAAUAAAUGCAUGUUGUUU